rnacentral:lncRNA from 1 species
UGAUAGGAAGUAGAGUGAGGGGUCCUUACUUGUUUCGGGGCCUGAAUACGGCUCUACAGUGCGCCUAUAGGCUGUCCCUAAUUUUCCUAAAUUUUUUCCCGGAAACUAAAACGCACUACCGGUACCUGCACGUGUCCCAAAAAAUCCCAAAUCAGACCUAGGGCCCCUUUCGACCAAUAUCACAAUUCCGGCUAGACGGCGGCGAUUCGCCUCGGAUUGGCCGUUUUCGGCCGAAUUCGGCCACACUUUCAUUGGUUCCUGCAAUAUAACGACCCUAGAGCCCUCGGUGGGUCAAAAAAUCACGAAAAACCGAAACUUAUCGGCGGCAGUGCUCUCGGGUGCGGCGGCUCCUCUGAUGUGAGUUGCGUUUUGAUGUUUGGCUCCGAUCAAGCUGUAGAGAAAAGAAUGGUGAUCACAGUGGUAUAAAAAUUGCAUC